GGAUGCGAUCAUACCAGCACUAAAGCACCGGAUCCCAUCAGAACUCCGAAGUUAAGCGUGCUUGGGCGAUAGUAGUAGUAGGAUGGGUGACCUCCUGGGAAGUCCUCGUGUUGUAUUCC
rnacentral:rRNA from 1 species